rnacentral:rRNA from 1 species
CCGUGCCCAAGAGAUCGGGAUAACACCUGGAAACAGAUGCUAAUACCGGAUAACAACAGAUGAUGCCUAUCAACUGUUUAAAAGAUGGUUCUGCUAUCACUCUUGGAUGGACCUGCGGUGCAUUAGCUAGUUGGCAGGGUAACGGCCUACCAAGGCGAUGAUGCAUAGCCGAGUUGAGAGACUGAUCGGCCACAUUGGGACUGAGACACGGCCCAAACUCCUACGGGAGGCAGCAGGC